CAGAAGGAAUGCCAGUUUGCCAAUCAGGGGUAAUGACUUACACCCAGCUGGUAUGCAGGCAUCCCUCCUCAGCUGUUGCAAACUACAGUCCCACCCCCAUCAGCAGAGCCAGUGCUGGUAAAUGGCCUCAAAGAGCACUUCUAACACAGCAGUUGGUGGGUAAGGAUCAUAGUGGUUGCUACCCUCAUGAACAAGCAGUUUCAGGAGGUGAGCUAAGGUAGCAGGAGGGCAGCCUAUCUAUUUCUCAGCAUGCUUCUAUUUUUUUUGUUUGUUUUUAAUGUUGAUGGCUAAUUUCACUUUGCUAAGAGAUUCCUCUAUGUCAUCUUAUGAGCAGAUGAUUUCCUCAUUACCAACAGUGAACUAAGCUUCAAGAAAAUAAAUUAAUGCUGUGUAUUAUGGAAAACCUCUGCAAUUUUUUUUCUAGAACACUUGAAGUCUGGGAAGUUUCUGUAUUAUAUCAAAGACAUUCAAAAUGUAGUGCAAGAAAUUAAACCCUGCUUCAGGUAAACAGUAACACUCUACAUACAGAGUAGGCAAGGUAUUUUGUCUACUGAUUUGCCUACAGACAAGAUAUGUUAAAGUAGGAUGGAGUCAUAGCUUUUUGUGAUGCUGAGAGUUGUGAUUAUGUUGGUAAAGAGUAAAUAAUUCUCAGAAAGCAAAGCGGAGAAGAGACAUAUAAUAAAUGAUGCAAGUAGUCAGUGAAACAGCGUGGUCCAUCCAUCUGGGGAUGGGAUCUACUGGAGGAAGCAGUUACAACUCCUUGGGGCUCAGAUCAGGAAAUGCUUUAGGGAACAGAUUUACAACCUGUAUUUCUCCCAUCCUUCUCUUAGGUACCUGUGCUUACUUCCAUGUGGAACCUUGCUCUUCUCAGCUAGCAAAAUCACUGUCCAGGCGUACUGGAAGAUGAUACAUCGUGGCACAUCAAAAUUUCUGCUGUCAACAAGCCUGACAGAAUGCAUGGAAUUUUUAUUGCAGCAGGGGGAGUACGAUGCUGCUAGUGCCCAAACUUACCUUUAACCUCUUCUUAAGCAUGCUACAUGUAUUUGACUUGCAUAAAUGACUGACAAAAGACUGUUUAUGAUACUCUGUCAGAUGCUGCGUGCACAAGUUCUCUUGUUUUCAAGAGCUACCAGCAUUUGGCCUUUUCAGAGGUCUUAUGUCUCCUGGAAGCUAUUUCCGUUCAUUCCUGUUGCUGACAGGGACUACUAAACCUCAGAGACCCACUGCAUAAUGCAUGAUAAUAUGUUAUGUUAAUACAUGCUAUUGCCAUGUGUGUAGUAAUCUGCAGGCUGCUAGAUUAAUUUGCUUUUAGGCGUUUGUGGAGAGCUGUGUGUCUUUUGGGACAUUCACUGAUAAAUAUAAGGAUAAGAGUAUUCUAGUGAGCUAUGAACAGUAUAGUACAGCUAGGCUUCAGUGCAACCUUUAGUUGGAAAAAACAACGCUUGAUGACACAGACAUGAUAAGACUCUUUCUCAGAAAGAGGCUAUGAAACCUAAAAUAAGUAUUUUUUUAAAAAAUGGAUUAUAUAUACACCAGCCUGGAAUGAGAAAGGAAACAUCUGCUCAGUGUUGUUUUGAAGCAGAAAAAUGAAUUGUGUUUCAUCACGGAAGUAUGUUUUGCGGGUUAACUAUUCCAUCCCCGGUUAAAUAUGUUAUCCCUAUCACUUCUUGAACUUGAUAUGUUUGCAGAAGUGGGGCUGUCUGAGGAAGGUGUUUAACUGUCCAAAUAUUGUUCUAUGUAUAUUUUGAAGAUUGCAUCUUAAGGAAUUUAACUCAAACCUUGUUCAUGACCUCUUGUGACCUCUUAUGGUACGAGACACCCAGUGAGGGCUGAAUAAAUGUACUUUACAACUUA